GAUGAACGCUGACAGAAUGCUUAACACAUGCAAGUCUUUGGCGAAGCUGUGCUCGCACAGCCUAGCCAAGGCGGACGGGUGAGUAACGCGUAAGGAACUUGCCCUGCAGUCAGGGAUAACAGACGGAAACGACUGAUAAGACCUGGUAAAGUCAGGCGGACUCAUGUCCAGCCUGAUGAAAAGAGAUGCUGCAGGAGAGCCUUGCGUCCUAUUAGCUUGUUGGUGGGGUAACGGCCCACCAAGGCGAUGAUAGGUAGCCGGCCUGAGAGGGUGGACGGCCAAAAGGGGACUGAGAUACGGCCCUUACUCCUACGGGAGGCAGCAGGGGGGAAUAUUGGACAAUGGGGGCAACCCUGAUCCAGCAAUUCUGUGUGCACGAUGAAGGUUUUCGGAUUGUAAAGUGCUUUCAGCAGGGAAGAAAAAAAUGACGGUGCCUGCAGAAGAAGCGACGGCUAAAUACG
rnacentral:rRNA from 1 species